rnacentral:rRNA from 1 species
GACGAACGCUGGCGGCGUGCUUAACACAUGCCAGUCGAACGGAAAGGCCUGCUUUCCCUUGUGGAUUGCGGGUACUCGAGUGGCGAACGGGUGAGUAACACGUGAGUGAUCUGCCCCCAACUUGGGUAUAAGCCUGGGAAACUGGGUCUAAUUCCCGAUAGGACUGCAGGGUGGUGCCUGUGGUGGAAAACGAUUUUCUAGUGGUUGGGGAUGAGCUCGCGGCCUAUCAGCUUGUUGGUGGGGUAAUGGCCUACCAAGGCGGCGACGGGUAGCCGGCCUGAGAGGGUCGACGGCCACAUUGGGACUGAGACACGGCCCAGACUCCUACGGGAGGCAGCAGUGGGGAAUAUUGCACAAUGGGCGGAAGCCUGAUGCAGCGACGCCGCGUGGGGGAUGACGGGCUUCGGGUUGUAAACUCCUUUCGACCGAGAGGAAGCCACCUGGUUGGAAGGGUGGUGACGGUAGUGGUAGAAGAAGCACCGGCUAACUACGUG